CCUAAUAAAAAUCACUUAUAUCUUUUAACACCAUCAUGUGGCUAGACUCAAAAUAUAUUUACAGUAGCUGGGUUGAUCUUGUGUACCUGCAACCUCCUGUUGGGGGGGGGGGGGGAUAUAAUAAAAACGAGAUGAGUAUAAAGCUCAGUGAGCUCAGUGAGUGGAUAGUAGUUUUUGAAAAUAAAUUUUUAUUUUUUAAAAUAAUAACCAUAUCAUUUUUUAACACAAUUUCAUCAAACCAUAUACGAGAAAACAUUAAUAAAUCAUUUAACAUCUAAAUCAAAUUACUAACCUUAAAGAUCAUAUAUAAUAACGUAGGUAAUAACCAUGCAAAUCAUAUCACAAUAUCAUAUAAAAUACACAAAUAUGAAAUCAUCACUAAACAAGUACCUAAGGGAAUAAUCUCAUUGUAUCCAGACCUCAACGGACAAGCAAUGAUGUACUAGCUAGGUACCGUCAUGCCCUGGAGUUACACGGAUAGACAUGGAAGUACAAUCUCAUAUCUUGUCAUAUAUCUCAUCAUAUUUGUGCAUGCAUAAUCUAGUCCCCAAAGGACAAAAACGCCCAAGCACACAACCCAAAGCCUCUUUGUGUACUUAAAUAGACCCCAAAGGCCUGUAUCUCAUCUAUAUCAUUUGUAUCUAUAUCACUGUUAUCAUCAUACCACAUGCAUAUGCCCCCAAAAGGCAGAAUCACCUAAACACACGGCCCAAAACCUCUAUGUGUGUUCAGAUGGGCCCCAAAGACCUCAUAAUAUCUGUAGCAUUGUAACCGGGGAAUGAUACUGUCUAAUGAUUUUACGAGCAACAUCUUAUACACGUGUACAUGAAUAUAAAAUCAUACUAUAAAUCUCAUUUCCUUUUUGUUUAACAUAGUUUAAAUCUAUUUUCUUUUCUUUAUCACAUCCAAAUCCACUUUUCUUAUCUUUAAAACACUAUCAUAUUUUAUCCAAAGUCGAUAUAGAAAACCAUUAACCAACCAUUUUAAUAAAAUAUCAAUGUGUGAAUUAAAUAUAUUUCGAGAAAAUUAUUAAAUCAGAAUAUUUAAAAUACUUAUUUCGCAAACAUGCUUUACUAUCAUAAUUAACCAUGAAAACAUGUUUCGUAUAUUUCACUCACAAUGACGACGCUUAGACUUGGUUAUCGUCCACACCUGCAGACCUGUUCUCGCUCGCGGAUCCUCCUAAAUCAAGGAAACGACAUAAUUAUUUUUCGUAAAUUUAAAUUAAGACUAAAUUUAUGCAAUGAACUCGAAACGAACAUCUAUCCAUAAUUUACAGCUCCUGAGCGAUAAAAUUACCAAAAUACCCUCGAGUUCGUAAAUCAUUAAAAUACUCUGAAAUCAUAAAUCAUAAAUCAUCGAAUUACCUCGGAAUCGUAAUUACAACCAAUCCUCAAUUUCAGAACUUACUAAAACCUCUACAAGGUCAGAAAUCACAAAAUUGCCCUCAAAAUAUGAAAUUACCGAAUUGCCGUCACCGGUCAAUGGUGACCGGAAUUCAGUCAACGGUGGUCGGGAAGCUCAGGUCUAAUAGUUCCAGUCCAAUGGUGCCGGCGGUGACCUCCCACACGCGACGAUGGUGCUGGAAUCUAUCUCGACAACUGUGAACCUCCAAGUGGCCGUUCGAUGACAAUCUGGCCAUUUUAGGUGAUGGGUCCGGUCGGAAAAUGAUGGGGGUGAGCUGAGGAGUGAAACCCAGCCGAUGGCAUGCUACAAAUCCGGUGAAAUUGACGACGACGGUGACAACUGGGAUAUAACGGCCAGUCUUCAAGCUUCAGAUUGGUACUGUGCUCAACCGGUGAGGUGGCUGAAAAUCGGAUAUGGCCGGGUCGUGGGUUUGGGUUGAGUUUCAGGUCAGUUUGAUGGCUUCCUCUC
rnacentral:lncRNA from 1 species